GAAAAAGAGACAACUUUUAACGGUGGAUCUCUUGGCUCGUGCAUCGAUGAAAAACGCAGCCAGGUGCGAUAAGUAGUGUGAAUUGCAAAAUUCAGUGAAUCAUCGAAUCUUUGAACGCAAAUGGCGCUCUUGGGUUCUCCCAGGAGCAUGUCUGUCUGAGUGUCGGUUUCCAAACCAUCGCGCGCCGCCGUCGCCCU
rnacentral:rRNA from 1 species